rnacentral:rRNA from 1 species
GUGAGGAAUAUUGGACAAUGGAUGGAAAUCUGAUCCAGCCAUGCCGCGUGCAGGAAGACGGCCCUAUGGGUUGUAAACUGCUUUUAUACGGGAGCAAUAAGGUCUAUGCAUAGAUUGAUGAGAGUACCGUAUGAAUAAGCAUCGGCUAACUCCGUGCCAGCAGCCGCGGUAAUACGGAGGAUGCGAGCGUUAUCCGGAUUUAUUGGGUUUAAAGGGUGCGUAGGCGGCUUUAUAAGUCAGCGGUGAAAUUUUGCAGCUUAACUGUAAAAGCGCCGUUGAUACUGUGAAGCUAGGAUUUGGUUGCUGUGGGCGGAAUGUGUGGUGUAGCGGUGAAAUGCAUAGAGAUCACACAGAAUAUCGAUUGCGAAGGCAGCUCACAAAGCCAAUAUUGACGCUGAGGCACGAAAGUGUGGGGAUCAAACAGGAUUAGAUACCCCGGUAGUCC